rnacentral:rRNA from 1 species
UACGUAGGGUGCGAGCGUUGUCCGGAAUUACUGGGCGUAAAGAGCUCGUAGGUGGUUUGUCGCGUUGUUCGUGAAAACUCACAACUCAAUUGUGGGCGUGCGGGCGAUACGGGCAGACUGGAGUACUGCAGGGGGAGACUGGAAUUCCUGGUGUAGCGGUGGAAUGCGCAGAUAUCAGGAGGAACACCGGUGGCGAAGGCGGGUCUCUGGGCAGUAACUGACGCUGAGACGCGAAAGCGUGGGGAGCAAACAGG